rnacentral:siRNA from 1 species
GCUCAUAUUAAUGAACAAAAACCA